rnacentral:rRNA from 1 species
CAGUCGCCACGGUAAUACGGAGGGGGCUAGCGUUGUUCGGAAUUACUGGGCGUAAAGCGCACGUAGGCGGCUUGGUAAGUUAGAGGUGAAAGCCCGGAGCUCAACUCCGGAAUUGCCUUUAAGACUGCCGAGCUAGCAGGUGAGAGAGGUAAGUGGAAUUCCGAGUGUAGAGGUGAAAUUCGUAGAUAUUCGGAAGAACACCAGUGGCGAAGGCGGCUUACUGGCUCAUACUGGACGCUGAGGUGCGAAAGCGUGGGGAGCAAACAGGAUUAGAUACCCCAGUAGUCCCUGUCUCUUAUAC